rnacentral:rRNA from 1 species
AGUGAACGCUGGCGGUAGGCCUAACACAUGCAAGUCGAACGGCAGCACAGUAAGAGCUUGCUCUUACGGGUGGCGAGUGGCGGACGGGUGAGGAAUACAUCGGAAUCUACUUUUUCGUGGGGGAUAACGUAGGGAAACUUACGCUAAUACCGCAUACGACCUACGGGUGAAAGCAGGGGAUCUUCGGACCUUGCGCGAUUGAAUGAGCCGAUGUCGGAUUAGCUAGUUGGCGGGGUAAAGGCCCACCAAGGCGACGAUCCGUAGCUGGUCUGAGAGGAUGAUCAGCCCCACUGGAACUGAGACACGGUCCAGACUCCUAGGGGAGGCAGCAGUGGGGAAUAUUGGACAAUGGGCGCAAGCCUGAUCCAGCCAUACCGCGUGGGUGAAGAAGGCCUUCGGGUUGUAAAGCCCUUUUGUUGGGAAAGAAAAGCAGCAGGUUAAUACCCCGCUGUUCUGACGGUACCCAAAGAAUAAGCACCGGCUAACUUCGU